AUUGAACGCUGGCGGCAUGCCUUACACAUGCAAGUCGAACGGCAGCGCGGGAGCAAUCCUGGCGGCGAGUGGCGAACGGGUGAGUAAUAUUUCGGAACGUGCCCAGUAGCGGGGGAUAACGCAGCGAAAGUUGUGCUAAUACCGCAUACGCACUACGGUGGAAAGAGGGGGAUCGCAAGACCUCUCACUAUUGGAGCGGCCGAUAUCAGAUUAGCUUGUUGGCGGGGUAAAAGCCCACCAAGGCGACGAUCUGUAGCUGGUUUGAGAGAACGACCAGCCACACUGGGACUGAGACACGGCCCAGACUCCUACGGGAGGCAGCAGUGGGGAAUUUUGGACAAUGGGCGCAAGCCUGAUCCAGCCAUGCCGCGUGCGGGAAGAAGGCCUUCGGGUUGUAAACCGCUUUUGUUCGGGAAGAAAUUGACUGGGCUAAUACCCCGGUUAGAUGACGGUACCGGAAGAAUAAGCACCGGCUAACUACGUGCCAGCCGCCGCUGUAACAC
rnacentral:rRNA from 1 species